rnacentral:rRNA from 1 species
AGCGGCGAACGGGUGAGUAACGCGUAGGAAUCUACCCAGUAGCGGGGGAUAGCCCGAGGAAACUCGGAUUAAUACCGCAUACGCCCUGAGGGGGAAAGGGGGCAGUUUACUGCUCUCACUAUUGGAUGAGCCUGCGUAAGAUUAGCUUGUUGGUGGGGUAACGGCCUACCAAGGCGACGAUCUUUAGCUGGUCUGAGAGGACGAUCAGCCACAUUGGGACUGAGACACGGCCCAGACAUCUACGGAUGGCAGCAGUUAAGAAUAUUGGACAAUGGGGGCAACCCUGAUCCAGGUAUACCGCGUGUGUGAAGAAGGCCCUAGGGUUGUAAAGCACUUUAAUCAGAGAAGAAGCAUUUUAAGUUAAUACCUUAAUAUGUUGACGUUACCUGAAGAAUAAGGACCGGCUAACUCCGUGCCAGCAGCCGCGGUAAUACGGAGGGUCCAAGCGUUAAUCGGAAUUACUGGGCGUAAAGCGCGCGUAGGCGGUUUAGCAAGUUGUAUGUGAAAGCCCUGGGCUCAACCUAGGAACUGCAUCCAAAACUACUAAGCUAGAGUAUGAGAGAGGAGAGUAGAAUUUCUGGUGUAGCGGUGAAAUGCGUAGAUAUCAGAAGGAAUACCAAUGGCGAAGGCAGCUCUCUGGCUCGUCACUGACGCUGAGGUGCGAAAGCGUGGGUAGCAAACAGGAUUAGAUACCCUGGUAGUCCACGCCGUANACGAUGAGUACUAGCCGUUGGGCAGAUUUAACUGUUCAGUGGCACAGCUAACGCAUUAAGUUCUCCGCCUGGGGAGUAC